rnacentral:rRNA from 1 species
UGGCUCAGAACGAACGCUGGCGGCGUGCUUAACACAUGCAAGUCGAACGCGAAAGGGGACUUCGGUCCUGAGUAAAGUGGCGCACGGGUGAGUAACGCGUAGAUAACCUGUCUUCAUGUCUGGAAUAAUACGCCAAAGGGGUACUAAUACCGGAUAUCUUGCUUUUCAUAAGUUAUGCAAGCAAAGGUGGCCUCUGCAUAUGCUACUGCAUGAAGAGGGGUCUGCGUACCAUUAGCUAGUAGGUGGGGUAAUGGCCUACCUAGGCGACGAUGGUUAGCGGGUCUGAGAGGAUGAUCCGCCACACUGGCACUGGAACACGGGCCAGACUCCUACGGGAGGCAGCAGUGAGGAAUAUUGCGCAAUGGGGGAAACCCUGACGCAGCGACGCCGCGUGAAGUGAGGAAGGCCUUCGGGUCGUAAAGCUCUGUCAAGAGGAAAGAAGUGUACAAUGGCUAAUACCUGUUGUAUUUGACGGUACCUCUAAAGGAAGCACCGGCUAACUCCGUGCCAGCCGCAGC